rnacentral:rRNA from 1 species
CGGCUAAAUACAAAGGCCAACAUGUUUCAUAAACAUGUUGCUCAAUCCGCAGCUUGCCCAAGCUGUCAAGACCCAUUCGAGGAUGCUCUUCACCUCAUCUCCACCUGCUCCUAUGCAACACAAGUCUGGACUAGCCUGGGACUGUCUGCCCCAGCCUCCCUCACUGCUCUUCACCAACACCCGCUGAUUCAGGGUCUCAAGCCCAACAUCUGGCCAUCGAUGGCCUUGACCGUUUCUUGGAAACUCUGGGACUCGAGAAAUGCUCUUGUUUUCAGGAAUGAAGAUCACUCUCUCAAAACAACGCUAAGAAAUAUUGUAGCAGUCUUCUCUCUCUGGGUUUUCCAUUUCAAAAAACAU